AACGAAUCCCCACUGGUGUAGCAAUACACCGGUGGGGGGAAGUGGCGAAAGGGGCAGUAAUGCGUGGGUAACCUACCCUGGGGAUGGGCAUAGCCGGCCUAACGGCCGGGUAAUUCCCAGCGAUUCGGCGAGGUGGCAUCACUUUGCCGGGAAAUGAGUUUCGCCUCGGGAGGGACUCACGUGAUAUUAGCUAGUUGGUGAGGUAACGGCCCACCAAGGCAAAGAUGUCUAGCGGGUGUGAGAGCACGACCCGCGCCACUGGCACUGAGACACUGGCCAGACACCUACGGGUGGCUGCAGUCGAGGAUCUUCGUCAAUGGGCGCAAGCCUGAACGAGCGACGCCGCGUGCGGGAUGAAGGCCUUCGGGUUGUAAACCGCUGUCGAGGGGGAUAAAAGCCGCAAGGCUUGAUUGAUCCCUGGAGGAAGCUCGGGCUAAGUUCGUGCCAGCAGCCGCGGUAAGACGAACCGAGCGAACGUUGUUCGGAAUCACUGGGCUUAAAGGGCGCGUAGGCGGCUCUUCAAGUCGGGGGUGAAAUCCCACAGCUUAACUGUGGAAGUGCCUUCGAUACUGAGGAGCUCGAGCGAGGUAGGGGCCCAAGGAUGCUUCUGGUG
rnacentral:rRNA from 1 species